AUUGAACGCUGGCGGCAGGCCUAACACAUGCAAGUCGAACGAGUGGCGGACGGGUGAGUAAUGUCUGGGAAACUGCCUGAUGGAGGGGGAUAACUACUGGAAACGGUAGCUAAUACCGCAUACCAUCGGAUGUGCCCAGAUGGGAUUAGCUAGUAGGUGGGGUAAAGGCUCACCUAGGCGACGAUCCCUAGCUGGUCUGAGAGGAUGACCGGCCAACCGGGAACUGAGACACGGUCCAGCGUCAUACGGGAGGCAGCAGUGGGGAAUAUUGCACAAUGGGCGCAAGCCUGAUGCAGCCAUGCCGCGUGUGUGAAGAAGGCCUUCGGGUUGUAAAGUACUUUCAGCGGGGAGGCGUUACCCGCAGAAAAAGCACCGGCUAACUCCGUGCCAGCAGCCGCGGUAAUAC
rnacentral:rRNA from 1 species